rnacentral:rRNA from 1 species
GGAGUUUGGACCGUGUCUCAGUUCCAAUGUGGGGGACCUUCCUCUCAGAACCCCUACUGAUCGUCGCCUUGGUGGGCCGUUACCCCGCCAACUAGCUAAUCAGACGCAUCCUCAUCCAUUGCCGAUGAAUCUUUGCUUGACGUUAGAUGUCUGCUGUCAAGAACAUAGGGAAUUAAUCCGACUUUCGCCGGGCUGUGCCCUACUACGGGGAAGGUUGGAUACGCGUUACUCACCCGUGCGCCGGUCGCCAUCACAGAUAGCAAGCUACCUGCAUGCUGCCCCUCGACUUGCAUGUGUUAAGCCUGUAGCUAGCGUUCAUC